GAGCUCAGUACACUCAUGUUUUUCCUCAGAUCGUAUAAAUCUUUCGCCUUUUACUAAAGAUUUCCGUGGGGAAGAACACUAUGAGUUUAUACUCACUGUGA